UCCUUCGGGAGUUCAUUAGUGGCGAACGGGUGAGUAACACGUGGGCAAUCUGCCCUUCACUCUGGGACAAGCCCUGGAAACGGGGUCUAAUACCGGAUACGACCUCCGACCGCAUGGUCUGGUGGUGGAAAGCUCCGGCGGUGAAGGAUGAGCCCGCGGCCUAUCAGCUUGUUGGUGGGGUGAUGGCCUACCAAGGCGACGACGGGUAGCCGGCCUGAGAGGGCGACCGGCCACACUGGGACUGAGACACGGCCCAGACUCCUACGGGAGGCAGCAGUGGGGAAUAUUGCACAAUGGGCGAAAGCCUGAUGCAGCGACGCCGCGUGAGGGAUGACGGCCUUCGGGUUGUAAACCUCUUUCAGCAGGGAAGAAGCGAGAGUGACGGUACCUGCAGAAGAAGCGCCGGCUAACUACGUGCCAGCAGCCGCGGUAAUACGUAGGGCGCAAGCGUUGUCCGGAAUUAUUGGGCGUAAAGAGCUCGUAGGCGGCUUGUCACGUCGGAUGUGAAAGCCCGGGGCUUAACCCCGGGUCUGCAUUCGAUACGGGCAGGCUAGAGUUCGGUAGGGGAGAUCGGAAUUCCUGGUGUAGCGGUGAAAUGCGCAGAUAUCANGANNAACACCGGUGGCGAAGGCGGAUCUCUGGGCCGAUACUGACNCUGAGNANCGAAGCGUUGGGGAGCGAACAGGAUANAUACCCUNGNAGNNCNCNNCNNAAACGUUGGG
rnacentral:rRNA from 1 species